GGUAAGGACUUGGAUUUUAUUCAAAAUGUAAUCCCCUGGAGGAUUUUACGCAGUUGAAAAUGAUCUCUCUGGCUGCAUUGAGGAGCUGCUCUGGAACAGGCAAGAGUGGAAGCAGGGAACCCAGGCGAGAGGAACCCAGACGAGAGGAACCCAGGCGAGAGGCCACUGUCAAGGAAAAGAGGAAGGAGAAAUGGAUACAAAAGAGAAAUAGGGAUUUGCUUAAGUGGAUAGUUACAGCAGCCGAAUGGACUAAGGCAGUGGCCUUGUAAGAAGAAGCCAGAACACUCUCCCUGUCUCCAGACACGCACACCAGUGAAAGGCCAUGUGAGCACACAGUGAGAAGGCGGCCAUCUGCAAGCUAGAAAGACAGCCCUCACCAGAGCCCAA